GACGAACCGAGCGAACGUUGUUCGGAAUAACUGGGCUUAAAGGGCGCGUAGGCGGUCGUGACAAGUCACUUGUGAAAUCUCCGGGCUUAACUCGGAACGGUCAAGUGAUACUGUCGGACUAGAGUACAGAAGGGGCAACUGGAAUUCUCGGUGUAGCGGUGAAAUGCGUAGAUAUCGAGAGGAACACCUGCGGCGAAGGCGGGUUGCUGGGCUGAUACUGACGCUGAGGCGCGAAAGCCAGGGGGAGCGAACGGG
rnacentral:rRNA from 1 species